rnacentral:rRNA from 1 species
UACGUAGGGAGCAAGCGUUGUCCGGAAUCAUUGGGCGUAAAGCGCACGUAGGCGGUUCGUUAUGUCGGAUGUGAAAGCCCUUGGCUUAACCGAGGAAGUGCAUCCGAAACUGGCGAGCUAGAGUACUAAAGAGGAUCGCGGAAUUCCCGGUGUAGAGGUGAAAUUCGUAGAUAUCGGGAGGAACACCGGUGGCGAAGGCGGCGAUCUGGGUAGAUACUGACGCUGAGGUGCGAAAGCGUGGGGAGCAAACAGG